GGAUAGGUGAAAAGAGAACAUGAGACGUAUCCGAAUAAAGUUUUCUACGUCCUCAAAGAGAAAUGGCACUGACGGAGAAACCGAAAAGAAACCUUCAGAUUCUCACCAGCGGUGAUUUGCGCUGCAAAGGGCGCAGAAACGCGGCUCUCAGACCUUGCCUGCGCGUGGGUUAAUUAAAACCAAUCCAGGUUCUGCAGCCCCCGACUCCUCCCUGCGGUUUAGCAGAAGGUAGGCGGGCUGCCCCAACCCUUAAAUACCCACGGGUCGACGCCGGCCAGAACCACGGACAGCUCCCGCCCUGUGGCCCAUGUGUCCUCCCAGCGCUGUGCGGUCUGCAGUUUCACCCGGAGGACAAGGAGUGUGGCUGCAGAUCGGGUCGGCCUGCCCUUGCUCUGCUUCUUCCCCACCCACACUUGGUGGGUGUCUUCUAGGCUGUCCAGCCUUGAACUAAGCACCCCAAGAGGAGUCAGAGCCCGAGAGAUGAGAAAGGGGCGCCCGAUGAAGAUCUAGGUCCGUCCCUCUCUGGGAGCUCAGCUACUGCGCCCGAGAGGCAGCGCUCAGACAGCGGGGAGGAGGCGGCCGCGGAGCCCCCGGAGAUGGAGGGUGAAGGCCUGCUUUCAAAGUAUCCCACGUCGUUCAGCAAAGAUUCGUCAUUUAGAAUUCAGACCUGCCAAGACCACGGAUGCUUUGUCUCAGCUCGGAUAUCUUCAUUUCUCCUUCUUACAGUUUCCUUGUUUCCGAGGAAAAACACAAGAUCUUGACAACUGCAAUCACCUGGUAACCAAUCAUGAAUCUGGUAUGGACCACUUUCACCCUGCCAAGAAUAUUUCCAGGAACCAAACUGCUUUGGAAGGGGAAGUGGGGCUUCUUGGAUAAAGUUUCCUGGAGAGAAAAGGAGUUCUAAUUAGUAUGGGCACUGAGGUGAGGAUAGAUAGAAACAGACAUGGGGGCAGCAUGCUUCUGUCUGGCCACCCUUAGCGGGUUGAUAUCUUGAUCAGUUGGUUGGUCAGUUCCUAGGAUAGAAUAAGGAUCCACAGCAUGUAGACCAUAUCACUGCCUAGGAAACACACAGUGGUGCUUGCCCUAGGAAUUUCUGCCCCUUCUUUCCAAGACCCCACAUUGGAGGCUCUAUCCAGAGUGAACUACUGAAAUUCUUUUAGAACUUUUAACCCAAAUAAAGCUGGGCUACCUUAUGUCCUAUUUUAGAAAUAGUACUUCUUUCUAAAGAAAUGUCAUCAUGACAAAAACAAAAAAACAACAACAAAAAACAUUGUCAAGCAAUAUAAUUCUUUAGUGGAAUCUUUGGAAAGGGCAACUUAUGGGAAAUUCCAUUUCUUGCCAUACAGUAAAAUGCCCUGAUGCGCCACAAAUUGCUCUUCUCUCUUUUCCUGUACUUUUUAUCAGUCUCAAACCUCCAGCUCUUCUUUCUUUCUCAUAUUUAUCUUCCUAUCUCCUGACUUUCUGGCUCCAAAGAUAACAGCGUUAUGGUACACAUCAGAAUCUCUGAAACCAAAUUGGCUAAUUAGCUUUGAACCUCGGCACUAUCAUGGUUUGUUUGUGGUCUUGGAAAAGUUGCCCAACAGUGGUUGACAUAUAUUAUAUUAACUUUUACCUUGUGCCAGGCAGGUAUUAAGUAACUAGCCCAAAGUUACUUAGCUAGUUAAUGAUAGAGCCAGGACCUGGCUCAAGCAACUUGACUCCAAAGCCUACAUUCUUCUUCUUUUUUUUUUUUUUUUUUUUUUUUUUUUUUUUUUUUUAGCGGAGUCUUUCUCUGUCACCCAGGCUGGCACAGUGCAAUGGCACGAUCUCAGCUCACUGCAACCUCCGCCUCCUGGGUUCAAGUAAUGCUCCUGCCUCAGCCUCCUGAGUAGCUGAGAUUACAGAUGCAUGCCACCACACCCAGCUAAUUUUUUUUUUUUUUUUGUAUUUUUAGUAAAGACAGGAUUUCACUAUGUUGGCCAGGCUGGUCUUGAACUCCUGACCUCAAGCAAUCCUCCUACCUUUGCCUCCCCAAGUGCUGGGAUUACAGGCGUGAGCCACCACACUUGGCCCAAAGCCCAGACUCUUGAGGACUAUGCUGUUCUGCUAUGUUAUGCCUCAGUUUUCUCAUCUUUAGAUGGGGGUAAUAAUAAUACUGCUUCAUGGCAGGAAAAAUAAUGUACUGGGGAGUGUUAACGCUAUAAAUAUAUUAAUUUCCUUCUGACAUUAAAUGGUUUUAAUGGUUGCAUUUUACUGAGUCUACUAAAAUUCAGAGACAUUAAGUUACUUUUUUUGUAGUCUCCCUGGUAAGUUGCUGAACAAAGCUGGGCUUAAAUUUAAAUCUAUACUAUUUCUAGUUGAGGCAUUCAAACUCAUACUCAGCCAUCUGAGGAUGAUGUAGUAUUGGGCGUCUGAUUUUUACCUUCCUGGGCCUCAGUUUUCUCACCUUUAAAUUUAGGGUGUUCACCUCACAAAUCCAUGAUAAUUAUAAAAAUUCGAUAUAAAAUUGUAAUUUGUAGACCUUCCAAUGGCAUGGACAUGUUAAGUGUGGUAUUGUUAAGUAUUAUUGGGUCUUUCUAGAAGCGUUUGCCCAAGUUGCACAGAGCUGGGGAAUAAACAAAGUUUCAUGGAAACACCAGACACGUCAAAAUCACCCAAGGACACCACAGAUGGCCAUUCAGCCUACUGGGGGAUCUAGUAAGAGAACCUACUGAGGAGAGGAUAGAGGGGAGCCUGCUAAGGUACCUGAGGCCAGAGAUACAGGAAAAUUAGCUGACCUCACUGCACAUGUGGGGAUGGGGGGAGAAUCCCUGUUCUGCUGGAACAACAGCGCUUCAGAGAGGCUACUACUCAUGGUGAAGAAGGAAGCUUUAACAGUGGAGAUCAUGAAGACCACAAUCACCUACACAUCCAAUCUUCCCUUAUCCCCUGUCCUAACAGAAUCGCUGUACUUGCCUUUCCUUUGAACGUGGGUUGCCUCAGGCAUUUGUUCAACAAAUACUUGUUAAGCACCUAUGAUGUGACAGACACUAUUCCAAAGCAUACAGACAAGAUUUCUGCUUUUAUAAUAUCUGUAUCCUGACAGAGGGAGGCAGGAGGGGAGACUAAAAGAAACAAAUGAAGGAUAUGAUUAUUUUGUCUGAUAAAGACUGUGAAGAAAAUAAACAUCUGAUUGCUCAUCAAAAUCAUCUUUGGUAAUAGAUCAUGAUAUACUUUUGCCAAAUAACCUGAAGGUGCUCAAAGAAUUGAGUGGCAUUACUAUAUAGUUUCUCAGCACCUACAACCAUAAAAAAUGGGGAAAAACCCAAACAAAAAUAAUCAAUACUGGUUCCUGUUUCAUUUUAGUAACAAAUAAAUUUUGCAUAAACUAAGAGGGUUAAAAAAUUUUCCAUCAUUUUAAUUAACAAAUGCAUUUCCAAUUAUAGUGCACUUUUGUGGUUAGCAAUUAUUUAUAAAUUGUGUAUUAAUAAUAUUUGUAAAUAUCACUCAAUCCAAAACAUGUUUUAACCCUCAGGAUCUUAG
rnacentral:lncRNA from 1 species